rnacentral:rRNA from 1 species
AAAGCCGGAUUAAUACCGCAUACGAUCUACGGAUGAAAGCGGGGGAUCGCAAGACCUCGCGCUAUAGGGGUGGCCGAUGGCGGAUUAGCUAGUUGGUGGGGUAAAGGCCUACCAAGGCGACGAUCCGUAGCUGGUCUGAGAGGACGACCAGCCACACUGGGACUGAGACACGGCCCAGACUCCUACGGGAGGCAGCAGUGGGGAAUUUUGGACAAUGGGCGCAAGCCUGAUCCAGCAAUGCCGCGUGUGUGAAGAAGGCCUUCGGGUUGUAAAGCACUUUUGUCCGGAAAGAAAUCCUCUGGGUUAAUACCCCGGGGGGAUGACGGUACCGGAAGAAUAAGCACCGGCUAACUACGUGCCAGCAGCCGCGGUAAUACGUAGGGUGCGAGCGUUAAUCGGAAUUACUGGGCGUAAAGCGUGCGCAGGCGGUGAUGU